rnacentral:sRNA from 1 species
CGGAAGGCGGAAGGCGGAGCGGUCCCUGCAACCCGGCCGGCGGGAACUGCCUUCUAGUUUUUAGUCUCAGACCAGACCACCGGGCGUGCCCCCAUGCCGAGCCCGCAGCUUCUGGUGCUCUUCGGCAGCCAGACAGGCACGGCUCAGGAUGUGUCGGAGAGACUGGGUCGCGAGGCCCGGCGCCGGCGGCUUGGCUGCCGGGUGCAGGCCCUGGACUCCUACCCGGUGGUGAAUCUGAUUAACGAGCCCCUGGUGAUAUUUGUUUGUGCAACUACAGGCCAAGGAGACCCCCCUGACAACAUGAAGAACUUCUGGGGGUUUAUAUUCCGGAAGAACCUGCCCUCCACUGCCCUCUGUCAGAUGGACUUUGCCGUCCUGGGCCUCGGGGACUCCUCAUACGCCAAGUUCAACUUCGUGGCCAAGAAGCUGCACCGACGGCUACUGCAGCUUGGGGGCAGCGCCCUCCUGCCCGUGUGCCUGGGCGAUGACCAGCAUGAGCUGGGGCCCGACGCUGCUGUGGACCCCUGGCUGCGAGACUUGUGGGACAGGGUUCUGGGGCUGUACCCGCCGCCUCCGGGCCUCGCUGAGAUCCCUCCCGGAGUCCCGACGUUCGGCUGAUUGAGUUUGACAUCUUGGGCUCCGGCAUCAGGUGGGGACUGCUGGGGACCGAGGAGGGCAAGCUUUGCUGCUGGUGAUGUGGUGCUGAUUCAGCCCUCCAACUCGGCUGCCCAUGUCCAGCGGUUCUGCCAGGUGCUGGGCCUGGACCCUGACCAGCUCUUCAUGCUGCAGCCGCGGGAGCCAGAUGUCUCCUCCCCCACGAGGCUGCCCCAGCCCUGCUCCAUGCGGCACCUCGUGUCCCACUACCUGGAUAUCGCCAGCGUGCCUCGCCGCUCCUUCUUCGAACUCCUGGCCUGUCUAUCCCUCCAUGAGCUGGAGCGGGAGAAGCUGCUGGAGUUCAGUUCUGCCCAAGGCCAGGAGGAGCUCUUUGAAUACUGCAACCGGCCCCGCAGGACCAUCCUGGAGGUGAAAUGGGAGGGCGGCAGGCCCAGCCCCUGAGCUACAGCCACGCUGCAGCCACCCUGAGACUCUCUUUGCCUAGGUGCUCUGUGACUUCCCGCACACAGCUGCCGCCAUCCCUCCCGACUACCUGU